rnacentral:lncRNA from 1 species
UCUUGGUGAACGCGAAGCAGUACCUCACUGUGGUGUUUCCUGACAUUUCCCUGACGUCUAACAACGUCAAAGACGUUUCCACAUGUGGAUUAGCAGUUUUCAUUGAUUCAUCUAAGUUAAUUUCUGCAUCUGGUGUGAGGUGGAACAUAAAUCCAUGCUUUUGCACAUGACUAUGCAGUUGACCCCCCACCGUUUGUCAAAUAGACUUUCUCUCCCAUUGAAUGUGCAUCGCCCUUGCUGAAAAUCAGCUGACUACAAGUGUGAAGUGGUUUUGACAAUGCUGCGUUCCUUGAAUUUCCAACAGUGGGAUCACACUUCACAAUGAGAUUUGGAGGAGACA